rnacentral:rRNA from 1 species
CCUACGGGAGGCAGCAGUGGGGAAUAUUUGGCAAUGGAGGCAACUCUGACCCAGCAACGCCGCGUGAAUGAUGAAGGUCUUCGGAUUGUAAAGUUCUUUUCUAAGGGAAGAAGAAAGUGACGGUACCUUAGGAAUAAGCCUCGGCUAACUACUUGCCUGCAGCCGCGGUAAUACGUUGGAGGCAAGCGUGAUCCGGAAUGACUGGGCGUAAAGGUUGCGUAGGUGGUUUGACAAGUUAGUAGCGGAACUGCGGAGGUCAACUUAGGGACUACUACUAACACUGUUGGACUUGAGUGCAGGAGAGGCAAUCGGAAUUCCUAGUGGAGCGGUGGAAUGCGUAGAUAUUAGGAAGAACACCAGUGGCGAAGGCGGAUUGCUAGACUGUAACUGACACUGAGGCACGAAAGCGUGGGGAGCAAACAGGAUUAGAUACCCCUGUAGUC